CUAAACCUGCUUACCCAGCCUCACCUGUUUCUUCCUGGAGGAACUGCAAUAAAGCCUCUCAUCCACAGUGUCUCUACCUCCCUGCCUCCUCACGGACGCUUCCUGGUGUGGGGUUUCUUGACGGGUGUGCCCUCCCCGCUGCUUGGGAACGUACAGACAGGAUCUGGGGCACUGCAAGAGAGAACACAUUAACCUUAAACCAUCAUACGCCUAAGGAUCAGAAGCCCAAGAAUCAGAGUCUGAAACUGCUCAGAGAGAUUUCAUUUUCCUUACAAGAUGAAGAUCUAUUCACCAAGAAGAGUCUGUUAUUCAACUGGACAGAGAACUCCUCUCCUGGAUGGCAAUAAGCUGAAGGAAGAUGUUGAAUGAAUAACCCAGGCCAAAGCUAUCAGCAGGUUUCUGUCAAAUAAAUAGAUCAUCCUUCGUACCCCAGAAAGCUGUCAGGCUCAAUACUUUGCAACCAUCUGUGCAUCCUUCUUGCCUUUUCUUCAUCCUCCUGCAUGAGCAGGGCUGAUGACCAUAGAACGGGAGAGAUGCCAGAGGACUGGACACAGAUCUUACUUCCAAUUGGAACUGACUACUCUGUAUGAAAUGAGCUUUAAUCUGACACUGUCCUGGAUUGGGAGCAGUACCUUCAAGUUUAAACUUAGUGGUCCAUUUUGACCUGAACUUCUUACUUAAAAAAAAAAAAUUAUAUCUCUUUGUUCUUGGUAGGGAAAUGUUUUUGUGACACUAUAAUUUGUGUUUCCUUGAUUUAUUACUGAAGGUGAGUAAUUUCUGUCUUGUAUGUAUAACUUCUUUGGCCUAUCUGCUCAGGUUCUUUGUCCCCUCUCCUCACUUUAUUUUUUUUUUUUAUUAGCAUCUUGAUAUUUUUCUUUCUCAUUAAUAAAUAUACACUAUUUAUAUAUUAAAUAUAAUAAACCCUUAUCUAUCAUAUUUGAAUGAUUUUCCCCAGA